rnacentral:rRNA from 1 species
AGAUUGAACGCUGGCGGCAGGCCUAACACAUGCAAGUCGAGCGGCAGCACGGGUACUUGUACCUGGUGGCGAGCGGCGGACGGGUGAGUAAUGCCUAGGAAUCUGCCUGGUAGUGGGGGAUAACGCUCGGAAACGGACGCUAAUACCGCAUACGUCCUACGGGAGAAAGCAGGGGACCUUCGGGCCUUGCGCUAUCAGAUGAGCCUAGGUCGGAUUAGCUAGUUGGUGAGGUAAUGGCUCACCAAGGCGACGAUCCGUAACUGGUCUGAGAGGACGACCAGCCACACUGGGACUGAGACACGGCCCAGACUCCUACGGGAGCAGCAGUGGGAAUUUUGGACAAUGGGCGAAAGCCUGAUCCAGCCAUGCCGCGUGCAGGAUGAAGGCCUUCGGUGUAACUGCUUUUGUACGGUAACGAAACGUCUCUUUACUAAUAAAGAGGAUCAGUGACGGUACCGUAAGAAUAAGCACCGGCUAACUACGUGACCAGCGAGCCGCGUUAACG